AGCGAACGCUGGCGGCAGGCCUAACACAUGCAAGUCGAACGAACUCUUCGGAGUUAGUGGCGGACGGGUGAGUAACACGUGGGAACGUGCCUUUUGGUUCGGAAUAACUCAGGGAAACUUGUGCUAAUACCGAAUGUGCCCUUCGGGGGAAAGAUUUAUCGCCAUUAGAGCGGCCCGCGUCUGAUUAGCUAGUUGGUGAGGUAACGGCUCACCAAGGCGACCAUCAGUAGCUGGUCUGAGAGGAUGACCAGCCACACUGGGACUGAGACACGGCCCAGACUCCUACGGGAGGCAGCAGUGGGGAAUCUUGCGCAAUGGGCGAAAGCCUGACGCAGCCAUGCCGCGUGAAUGAUGAAGGUCUUAGGAUUGUAAAAUUCUUUCACCGGGGACGAUAAUGACGGUACCCGGAGAAGAAGCCCCGGCUAACUUCGUG
rnacentral:rRNA from 1 species